GAUGAAGAACGUAGCGAAAUGCGAUACGUAGUGUGAAUUGCAGAAUUCAGUGAAUCAUCGAAUCUUUGAACGCACAUUGCACCUCUCGGUAUUCCGGGAGGUAUGCCUGUUCGAGCGUCAUUUGUACCCUCAAGCUCUGCUUGGUGUUGGGUGUUUGUUCCGCCUCUGUGUGUGAACUCGCCUCAAAACAAUUGGCAGCCGGCGUACUUGUUUCGGAGCGCAGCACAUUUUGCGAUCCAGAUCAACGUACAGCGGCAUCCAAGAAGCCUUAUUUAACGCUCUUGACCUCGGAUCAGGUAGGGAUACCCGCUGAACUUAAGCAUAUCAAUAAGCGGAA
rnacentral:misc_RNA from 1 species